GGUUCUUCAAUUGCUUCCCACCAAGUAGCUGUCUGUUACUUUGGGAUUAUACUAUUUUAAUGCCAACAAUCCAAACUUCCUUAAAUUAACUAGUGGCAUCUGCCUGAAAUUCCAAGCUCUCAGAAGGGAAAGAAAAAUACAAGUGGCGCUGUACUAUGUASGCCAGAAGACUCUGAGAGGCCAACACCAGAUGGCUGUGUCUUAACCUCCUGAUGCAAGAGGGUCUCUGCAUGUGCCUGUGUGAACAAGCAACAGGAACAUUCCAGUGGGGUCAGGUCUUGUAAAACUACGUCAGGARUAACACUCAAAUGAUGGAACUGCUGCUGGCACUUCUGGAUUUGAGGUGUGUAAAUCACAGGASAGUGAGGAAACACAUCUUGGAAAGUUACGGWUUCUUACUGACCCAGCCUCRUGGACUGUUAGAAGCAAAGCCCGUWUAAAAUCUAGUAUAGCCUGUAAGAACUCGCAGUGCUUCGUACAGUUUAACACCUUCAGCGGAAUGAACUGCUAAUAGCAUGUAACAAUUUAUAAAAUUUAAUGUUAGAAAUUUAUAUGAAAAACUAUGUAYUUCAUGUUAGAUUUGCUAACUCACGUGCUUCACGUUAUGGUUCCCUGCUUCUUACUCCUUCUAGGACUCCUUCUAGUGUCUUCUAGUAUAGCAUUAUAAUUUUUCUCUCUGGAGGAAAAAAAUAAACACAAACUUUCUUAGUCAUCUCACUCAUGUGAGGUGAUUUUUGGCAGAAACUCACUUUUCAGGUUGGUCUAGUAGGUAGGAGCUUAUGUGUACAGCCUGUAAAUCAUGUAUUCAUUUGCCGAGUUUAUUUGCC